AAGAAAAACAACUCACAAAUUAUCUCGUGUAAUGACUGGUAACAAAAACAACUGAAUCACAUAAAGAAGAACAAAAGAAGGAAAAAAAGAAUUACAGUGUACAUCGAAGCAGUAAUUCCAUUCCAGCUGAUAAUCUGUCGAACUUAAAAUGGUAUCAUUACUUUUCAUUAAAAAUCGUUUCGCAAUAAAGUAAUACAUAGUAGCCAUAAUCACACCGACAGCUCCAAAGUCUACAAAUAACAUGAAAGUAAUCGUCGUAACAUAUCCUUUCGGAGUGUUCAUGUAAAA